CUAGGGGUAUGUGAGCUACCAUCAUCAGCCCUUUCUUUCCACAUCUAAUCUCAGCUUGCAGCAUCAGAACUGCAGGAGGAAGAGCAUCUACUUUUGGAGACAUGGAGAGAAAGGAGGCUGACUAAGUAUGAAGGAAUUCUGGGGACUUUUAUGCAAUGCUUGAGACUUGCUCAUCAUCUCAGAAAAACCUUCUCCUUCUGUAGCAAACUGACUGGAACUGAAUUGUUCUUCCCAUAGAAGUGCUUUGGGGGAAAAGCUAAGCUACAGGCCCCUCAGAUGGUCCUGUUUUCGGCAAAGAAGACAAAACAAGGAAAUGAGCUAUCAUCCCUGCCUUCCAGAG